GAAUAUUGGACAAUGGGCGCAAGCCUGAUCCAGCCAUGCCGCGUGUGUGAAGAAGGCCUUCGGGUUGUAAAGCACUUUUGUUGGGGAAGAAAAGAUCUGGGUUAAUAACCCGGGUUCAUGACGGUACCCAAAGAAUAAGCACCGGCUAACUUCGUGCCAGCAGCCGCGGUAAUACGAAGGGUGCAAGCGUUACUCGGAAUUACUGGGCGUAAAGCGUGCGUAGGCGGUUUGUUAAGUCUGCCGUGAAAGCCCCGGGCUCAACCUGGGAAUUGCGGUGGAUACUGGCAGGCUAGAGUGCGGUAGAGGGUGGUGGAAUUCCCGGUGUAGCAGUGAAAUGCGUAGAGAUCGGGAGAAACAUCUAUGGCGAAGGCAGCCACCUGGACCAGCACUGACGCUGAGGCACGAAAGCGUGGGGAGCAAACAGG
rnacentral:rRNA from 1 species